rnacentral:rRNA from 1 species
AACGAACGUUGGCGGCGUGGAUGAGGCAUGCAAGUCGCGCGUGAAAGUUCCUUCGGGAACGAGUAAAGCGGCGGACGGGUGAGGAAUACGUAAUCAAGCUGCCCCCGAGACGGGGAUAAC